rnacentral:rRNA from 1 species
UACGUAGGGAGCAAGCGUUGUUCGGAUUUACUGGGCGUAAAGGGCGCGUAGGCGGUCGUGACAAGUCACUUGUGAAAUCUCCGGGCUUAACCCGGAGCGGCCAAGUGAUACUGUCGUGCUAGAGUGCGGAAGGGGCUACUGGAAUUCUCGGUGUAGCGGUGAAAUGCGUAGAUAUCGAGAGGAACACCUGCGGCGAAGGCGGGUAGCUGGGCCGACACUGACGCUGAGGCGCGAAAGCCAGGGGAGCGAACGGG